UAGAGAUGUCACCACCCACAA
rnacentral:misc_RNA from 1 species